AUUGAACGCUGGCGGCAGGCCUAACACAUGCAAGUCGAGCGGAUGAAGGGAGCUUGCUCCUGGAUUCAGCGGCGGACGGGUGAGUAAUGCCUAGGAAUCUGCCUGGUAGUGGGGGAUAACGUCCGGAAACGGGCGCUAAUACCGCAUACGUCCUGAGGGAGAAAGUGGGGGAUCUUCGGACCUCACGCUAUCAGAUGAGCCUAGGUCGGAUUAGCUAGUUGGUGGGGUAAAGGCCUACCAAGGCGACGAUCCGUAACUGGUCUGAGAGGAUGAUCAGUCACACUGGAACUGAGACACGGUCCAGACUCCGACGGGAGGCAGCAGUGGGGAAUAUUAGACAAUGGGCGAAAGCCUGAUCCAGCCAUGCCGCGUGUGUGAAGAAGGUCUUCGGAUUGUAAAGCACUUUAAGUUGGGAGGAAGGGCAGUAAGUUAAUACCUUGCUGUUUUGACGGUACCAACAGAAUAAGCACCGGCUAACUUCGUG
rnacentral:rRNA from 1 species